AAACUACUCCCUCCGUUCGGAAUUACUUGUCUCAGAAAUGGAUGUAUCUAGAACUAAAAUACGUCUACAUACAUCCAUUUCUGCGACAAGUAAUUCCGAACGGAGGGAGUACUAU
rnacentral:pre_miRNA from 1 species